GUAUUGCUGUUCUUACUCCAUCGUUAUUGGUUUUUUUUCAUUGUCCAGGAGAAAAUUCCCAGUUGAAUACCAGCUGAGAUCUUCGUCUUGCCCAUCCUACCUUUUUAGAUGUCAUAUCUGGAGGGCGUCCCCGUCUUUUCCUUGUGUGCCAAAUCGAUUGCAGGUAAACUAAUCUACUUUUUGAAGCCACCUGAAUAAAGAAGCCCUCCAGACGAAAGCUUUUACGGUACAUGCCAAGUGGACAGGGAAUUGUGGGAUUGCAGUCAAUGGGGCCUGUCACGGUUUCCAUGGUUGCUGUCUCCAGGGAGACACAAGAUGAGAGAAGCAUCAGUGCUGAUAUGGGUUCAGAUGGCAUGUGAAUGGAUAUUGGCUCUAUAAAGUCCUUAAAAACAUUACCGCAAUAUGAAUGUGGUGGGGUUUUUUUAUGGGUUUAUAAGAAAUCCGCAGCACUAUCCGUCUCUUAAAGGUUCAAGAGUUUCAUGUGAAUUUAGUUUUAAAGAUUGUAUUCACUGAUAAUGGUUCAGUGAUUCAGUGAGAUGUCAACUCUAGACCCUGUCAGACCAAUUCAGUCAGAUUUGUGAAUUGUUCAAUAUGGUUUGUAAAUGUAUCAGUCAGUCAAUUUCAUGAACAAAUUGUUCAGUCAUUUGAUAAACAGAUCUCUUUGAUUUGUGAGUGAAUCAAUCAUUCUCACAAGUUCUAUCAGUCAUUCUGGGCUCAUUCAGUGAAUUAUUCUAUAAUUUCAAGCUCAAGGUAGUUGAUAGCAAAGGAUUUGAAGGCCACGUUGAUCAGGGCUACCGUGUUCUAAAAACCUGCUGUAAGCUACUUUGACUUUGUCAUUGGACCAAUGUCGAUAAAUUCGCCAAUUUUCUGCUGAAAAGGACAAGACAGAGAAAGCCUUAGGGAAUUUAACAUUUACACCACUGUCAUGAACUCAGAAAGACACAGCCCAAGGUAGGAUUAUGAACAUAGCAAAGAGGUUCACACAUUCUCUGAAAGAGCACCAGCGGCAUUAGACAACAUGAGCAUUCACUUUAGCACGAUCCUCAAAAAAAAAGGAGUGAAAACACAGGUGUGGGUUGAGAUUUCCUCUCCUGUUGGCACUUUCUUCUCACUUAACGUGAAAGCCGCGCAUACACAUUUUAUCCUGACUGAAAGGAAGAUAGGACAGGGACAGGAAGUAGAUACAGAGUCGCAAUUUUUCUCUCGUCAUACAGGCAGAAAAUAAUCGGCAUGGAGCGAUCUGGUCAACACGACCAUACUCCCGCAGGAACAAUAAUAGCCUAGGAGUGCAGAAAUAACCUAAAGUGCGCUGUACAGUGGGAACUCACACAUGCUUCUACAGCAAACUGACACAAGUGUGUGCGCUACAGUAUCUCUCUCUCUCUGAUACACACACACACACACACACACACACUCUGUGCGUGUCAGAUUAAGUGGGAGUGUCGGUUUAUCGUGGGUUCUCAGGGAGUCACAGGCUCUGAGCUGGAGGACUCACACAAUGUGUCUUGCAGGCCUGAUAGCAGCGUCCUCGGCGCUACGUGCUCCAGUUGACCAAGAGUCCAAGAGUCUGAGACCACUGAAGUAUAUACUUAAAUAUUUCUGUUUACUUCAAUACAUUUGUUUUAUUUUGUAUAUGCUGUAUGGGGCUCAAACAAAUCCAGUCAUUUUUUUUUUUUAAAUUGAGAUUUAUACACCAUCUGAAAGCAGAAUAAAUAGUUUUUUCAUUGAUGUAUUGUUUGUUAGGAAAGGACAGUAUUUGGCAAAAACAAUCUGAAGAUGCAAUAAAAAUCUACAUUUUGAGAAAAUCACCUAUUAAAGAUCUCCAGAGGAAGUCCUUAGCGAUGCAUAUUACUAAUCAGAACUGUUUUGAAAUAUUUAUGAUAGGAAAUAGACCUAAUAUCCAAAAGAUUUGUGAUUUAUAAAAGAAAUAUCAAUCAUUUUGACACAUACAAUGUACAGCUAUUGCUACAAAUACACCCGUGCUUGGUUUUGGCCCUUGACCUUCAUUAGAUAUCUAUGCAAGUCAUUAUGGUAUCACAAUUUGUCUAAUAUUUAUGUCUAUAAAAUGUCUUUUGUAACACAUCUUUUCAUUGAACAAAU